CUACGGGUGGCACCAGUGGGGAAUAUUGCGCAAUGGGCGAAAGCCUGACGCAGCAACGCCGCGUGAGUGAUGAAGGCCUUCGGGUCGUAAAGCUCUGUCGGGAGGGAAGAACACCUUCGGGUCUGACGGUACCUCCCGAGGAAGCACAGGCUAACUCCGUGCCAGCAGCCGCGGUAAUACGGAGUGUGCAAGCGUUGUUCGGAAUUACUGGGCGUAAAGCGCGCGUAGGCGGCUUGAUAAGUCAGAUGUGAAAUCCCUCGGCUUAACCGAGGAACUGCAUUUGAAACUGUCAGGCUUGAGUACGUGAGGGGGAAGCGGAAUUCCCAGUGUAGAGGUGAAAUUCGUAGAUAUUGGGAGGAACACCAGCGGCGAAGGCGGCUUCCUGGACCGAUACUGACGCUGAGGCGCGAAAGCGUGGGGAGCAAACAGGAUUAGAUACCCCUGUAGUC
rnacentral:rRNA from 1 species